rnacentral:sRNA from 1 species
CACAAUCCAGGGUACAACUGCGGAAUUG